AGUGGUGCUGGGAGUGUCGUGGACGUCGUGCCGUUACUCGUAGUCAGGCGGCGGCGCAGGCGGCGGCGGCGGCAUAGCGCACAGCGCGCCUUAGCAGCAGCGGCAGCAGCAGCAGCAUCGGAGGUACCCCCGCCGUCGCAGCCCCCGCGCUGGUGCAGCCACCCUCGCUCCCUCUGCUCUUCCUCCCUUCGCUCGCACCAUGGCUGAUCAGCUGACCGAAGAACAGAUUGCUGGUAAGUUCACAACUCCAAGGAGUCCGCAGAAGGCCAGAACUAGGCACUGACUCAGUUUUGGUGACUCCUCUGUUCCUCCCCUCUACAGUCUGGGCAGUUUUCUAAGAAUUUAUUUAAGAACAGUAAGCAGAAACAUUGAGGUCAGAUGUUAUUCUUGCCAGUACUUUAUAGAUGAGGUGAAAGGAAGUAAAACUAAGGAUGCCCACAUGUUAAACUCUGGAGAAUUUGACCAUGUUUCACAAUGUGCAAAGUUUGCGUGUGAUUAAAUUGUACUGAGCCUGCUACUCAACAAUUUAGUUUACAGUUCUUAUGCCAUGGGUCUUUCAGUAAUCU
rnacentral:sRNA from 1 species